AAAAGAAAAAGAAAAAGAAAAAGAAAAGAAAAAUUAGUACCAUAGGGAAAAUGGAAACCCUAGAAGCAGCCGUCUCCUUUUGGGCUUUUAUAUAUUAAAUCACUUUUCACUUCCUUACCUCCCCUCACAAACCCGCCUUCAUCAUGGCUUGAGAUGGUGAAGAUUUGACAAGAUAAUCAACAAGGAAAUAGCGGCUGACAUUGUGUACGAGAAUGACAAGUUCUAGCUUUUAGGGACAUAAAUCCACUGGCGCCCGCACACAUAAUUAUUGUCCCUAAAAUGAAGGAUGGAUUGACUAGACUUUCUAAGGCUACAUUUGAAGAUAGCCUGUUGAAGGAGGCUGAAGAAAAAAAGCACAGCACUAUAAAAGAAGCCGUGGAAGUAGGCAACUUGAGUGGAGUUUAUCGCUUAACCCUCACUCACUUCAACCAAUGAUACCCGAAAAUUCCCAAAUGUGAUGGAAAAAUUCACAUGCAUAAAAUGUGCAUUGCAUUUGAUAAUAUGAGUGUUAACUUAGCAGAUUUGCCUAUUCUUCCAAGAGUAGUGCCAUCCCUAGAACUCUUGUUUGGUGAUGAGAAGAUUACUGAAGAUGUAACUGCUACUUAAUUUAUUAUUUAAAUCCUUUUAUUUAAACUUGUAGUGUUGGUUAGUAGUUAAAUACUAGUUAGUAAGAGAUUGAGCCAAAGCUUCUUGUUCCCAAUUUAAAUUGCAUUCCUACAUGAAAACGACAGUUUUGGCUCGUCUGAUACAAUAGGUAUUUCAAGAUGACAGUUGCUAUUACUAAUUGGGAUAGCGUUUGCUUCCUUUUUAAGCAUGUCGCCUGUUGGUUCAAUUUACACUUAUUUAACUUAGGAGAGUGGGCUAAUUCGGGUGCGUGUUAUUAUGGAUCAUCUUUUGAUUGAAUUUA